rnacentral:lncRNA from 1 species
CGCUCAAUACAGAAGACCGCGCAAACUUUGCGCGGUCCUCUAAAAUAAGCAGACCCAUCCAAUCUGUCAAGUGUCAUGUCGAGAAACAGUUCUCCGUCAAACAAAUUUUUUUUUUCCCUGAAUGAAGAGUUCCGUCUAUCAAACGACUGCUAUUAGGUUUCUGAGAUUACAGUGGUUUCUAGAUGUUCUACGGGCCACUGUAUUUCAAACGUAAAUCAGAUUGCCUAAGCCUCUUUAUAAAGUUGAAAAAAGCUCUUUAGUUUUCAAACUGAUCCCUAUUUCCCAAAAGAACGCUUUAAUCAAUUCACUAGGAAAGUUAUUUCUGGCGUCAGCUGUUACCGUUUUGUGUGUGUGUGGUCUUUCCACAUCUUCAUGUAACCCACUUAAGCGCAUUACGUACUUAUUUUAUCACCUUCCAUGAUCCUCUUUUUUUAUCCAAAAUUGCACGGCCACGCUUUAAUAAAUUCUUGAUAAAAAAAAAAUAAAACAGCAAAGUUCGGUUUAAGGUUUUCUUUCUAAGGUUUUCUACGAAUACACUCCAUUCUAUAAUCUAGGUUGGCAACUAUGAAUUAAUUCUAAUCAUAAGUUUAGUGCUCCAGUUAAAAUAGUAAAACUUAAGUUAGCGUUUGGCCUACGAAAAAAAAACACGGAGGUAUUGUUAGAAAACCUUAUCAAAAACGAUAUACUGAACUUUGCCGGGCUUUUUUAUUUCUGUUUGUUUCUUGACUUUGUUUUGUUUUGUUUUGUUUUUUUGUUUUUUGUUUUUUGUUUUUAGUUUUUUGCAAUAUCUUUUCUAAGCGCCUUAUUCUGAUCCUGCAAAUCUGAUCUUAUUAUUUUAUCGAAAACAGAUUGAUAACUUGAAGGGGAUAAUCUUGGACACCAACUGCCUUUGUUAAACUGAACAUACCCGACAAACUUAAGCUCGGGUGUGAAUAUAAAUGCCUCAUUAAAUCACCUUUGGUUAUUUCUAUCAAGAUUUCAAUACAUCUACGUUCUUGUUCAGUUCUCACGAAAAGGACUUAUCUUGUGAAGAUAGCAAUGUGGACAGUCAGCUUAGCGCAGAUGUCACUUGCACAUUUUGCAAGGACGACAUGACACCAGUGACGCUGGCUUUGAAGAAUCACUUGGACGUGUGUCCUCUUUUCCCGGUCAAAUGUCCUAACAUGUGUGGCAAGAUGGAGGUUCCUCGAGAAAAGGUAGAGUAUAAAACUCAAAACUGAAAAAUUAUCAUGAAUAGCAAUGGUUAUAGCAGUAUGUACAAAAUUUCCUAGAUUACGAUCGGAUGCCUCUUCCGUUCAAGUGGUACAUUUUAUAGUACAAGUAAUAUUUACUUCAAGUGAAUCGCGCGUCGCGUUUGUGAUGAAUGUAAAUGUUUAAUUCAAAUCUUCAAAGUAUUUGAUGUGGUCUUUCAAUAUUUUUAAAUACUUUGACGACAGUCCGCGUUCUCAGUCAAGUUUAUCGGUUGUUUUCAUUUUAAAAUAUCUUUGCGGAACUACGAGUCUUAAAUAUUUGUUACAUGCAAAAAAUAAAAUUCAAUGAUAAGUAGCAUCUUAUCGACAUAUCAUUCGCUUGAGAGGUUAUCUGCUAUGAAACAUCUUAAUUUAUUUCUCAAAUGACGAUAUUACCUUCUCAAGCGAUAAGCAACAGCAUAAUUAUUUCCAGAAAGCUAAAAUUCUGAGAAACGCUAUGUUUCAGUUCACUGGAUUGAAAGUCGAGAAACUGGGAGAUGUUAUAAAUCUCGAAUUAUUUUAUGGCCGGCUGGCAAUUAUGCCAUGUUUUCCAGGCAUCAGUACAAACUUACACGCUGUGAAUUUUAUUGUAUAAGGACUUCAAAUUGUGCUACUUUCUCGAACUUUACCACUACUCUAGUCAGUUUAGCUUCUCCUUAAAUAUAAUUUUUUUCUUUUUUGAAAAGUAGUCUAUUAAAGGGGUUGACUUAAAGAAUCACAGGGCCUUUG